rnacentral:hammerhead_ribozyme from 1 species
AUCCAGAUGAAAACUCCCAAAUAAGACGAAACACGCGUCCUGGAU